CCUACGGGCGGCAGCAGUGGGGAAUAUUGGACAAUGGGGGGAACCCUGAUCCAGCCAUGCCGCGUGUGUGAAGAAGGCCCUCGGGUUGUAAAGCACUUUCAGUGAGGAAGAACGCCUGGUGGUUAAUACCCAUCAGGAAAGACAUCACUCACAGAAGAAGCACCGGCUAACUCCGUGCCAGCAGCCGCGGUAAUACGGAGGGUGCGAGCGUUAAUCGGAAUUACUGGGCGUAAAGCGCGCGUAGGUGGCUUGAUAAGCCGGUUGUGAAAGCCCCGGGCUCAACCUGGGAACGGCAUCCGGAACUGUCAAGCUAGAGUGCAGGAGAGGAAGGUAGAAUUCCCGGUGUAGUGGUGAAAUGCGUAGAGAUCGGGAGGAAUACCAGUGGCGAAGGCGGCCUUCUGGACUGACACUGACACUGAGGUGCGAAAGCGUGGGUAGCAAACAGGAUUAGAUACCCUGGUAGUC
rnacentral:rRNA from 1 species